rnacentral:misc_RNA from 1 species
AUGAAAUGCCGAAAGGCGCUUUCAAAACGUCCACCCCUUUGUGAACCAGCGCGUGGGCCAAGUACGGGUUCACACCCCGAAGGCCCGCGUUUUUCCAUACAUAUACCCCAGAGAAAGUCUCAGAAUGUGCGCUGCGUUAACUCGCAUAAAUA